rnacentral:rRNA from 1 species
GACGAACCACCCAAACGUUAUUCGGAAUUACUGGGCUUAAAGGGUGCGUAGGCGGCGCGGAAAGUUGGAUGUGAAAUCCCUCGGCUUAACCGAGGAACUGCGUUCAAAACUACCGUGCUUGAGGAAUACAGAGGUAAGCGGAACUUCGGGUGGAGCGGUGAAAUGCGUUGAUAUCCGAAGGAACACCGGUGGCGAAAGCGGCUUACUGGGUAUUUUCUGACGCUGAUGCACGAAAGCCAGGGGAGCAAACGGG